UGAGCAGGGCGUUUUGCAAGGAGGAAUGGGAGAGCCGGAGUUCCCUAGGUUCCAGUCCCUGCCUUCCUGGAGAGAGCUGGGCCACUGAGGUUCCAGCUCCCCAAGGGGAGAGAAGAUGCCGUUUCUAACAAAGGAAAGAUAUUUAAGACUUCCAAAAAGGCUGCAAGCCCUGGCUUAAGAAGUGGAAGGUGACAAACAGCUGGUUUUGACUGUCUUUCUCACAGCCCAAAGAUGUCCAUGUGCCAAAGUUAAAAAACCCACUACCUCACAUUGGUGGCGCUCUGCUUCCACUCAGUCCCACCAGAGCUGUUAAUGGAAUUGGAGUACAGGUGAUGAGGAAGAAAAGUCUCACUGUGACAGUUGUCUGCAGGAGACAAAAAUGGAAACUGUCCCAGCAGCCACAGAAGAACAUCAGAAAGGAAAACAAACAAUGGUUCUGCUUUUUAAAGGCUGCUGUAUCUGAAGAGAAAAUUUCCACAGCACCCCAGCUAAAUAAAAUGAUAAC